rnacentral:rRNA from 1 species
UAGGGAAUCUUCGGCAAUGGGGGCAACCCUGACCGAGCAACGCCGCGUGAGUGAAGAAGGUUUUCGGAUCGUAAAGCUCUGUUGUAAGUCAAGAACGAGUGUGAGAGUGGAAAGUUCACACUGUGACGGUAGCUUACCAGAAAGGGACGGCUAACUACGUGCCAGCAGCCGCGGUAAUACGUGGGUCCCGAGCGUUGUCCGGAUUUAUUGGGCGUAAAGAGAGUGCAGGCGGUUUUCUAAGUCUGAUGUGAAAGCCUUCGGCUUAACCGGAGAAGUGCAUCGGAAACUGGAUAACUUGAGUGCAGAAGAGGGUAGUGGAACUCCAUGUGUAGCGGUGGAAUGCGUAGAUAUAUGGAAGAACACCAGUGGCGAAGGCGGCUACCUGGUCUGCAACUGACGCUGAGACUCGAAAGCAUGGGUAGCGAACAGGAUUAGAUACCCUGGUAGUCCAUGCCGUAAACGAUGAGUGCUAGGUGUUGGAGGGUUUCCGCCCUUCAGUGCCGGAGCUAACGCAUUAAGCACUCCGCCUGGGGAGUACGACCGCAAGGUUG